rnacentral:rRNA from 1 species
AUUGAACGCUGGCGGCAUGCCUUACACAUGCAAGUCGAACGGUAACGGGCCUUCGGGUGCCGACGAGUGGCGCACGGGUGAGUAAUACAUCGGAACGUGCCCGAUCGUGGGGGAUAACGAGGCGAAAGCUUUGCUAAUACCGCAUACGAUCUACGGAUGAAAGCAGGGGACCGCAAGGCCUUGCGCGGACGGAGCGGCCGAUGGCAGAUUAGGUAGUUGGUGGGAUAAAAGCUUACCAAGCCGACGAUCUGUAGCUGGUCUGAGAGGAUGAUCAGCCACACUGGGACUGAGACACGGCCCAGACUCCUACGGGAGGCAGCAGUGGGGAAUUUUGGACAAUGGGCGCAAGCCUGAUCCAGCCAUGCCGCGUGCAGGAUGAAGGCCUUCGGGUUGUAAACUGCUUUUGUACGGGACGAAAAGCCUUCUUUUAAUACAGGAGGGUCAUGACGGUACCGUAAGAAUAAGCACCGGCUAACUACGUG